rnacentral:sRNA from 1 species
UACUUACUACUGAACCCUGUUUUCUCUGAGCAGUUUAAUAUGGUUUCUUUACUAUUAAUCUAAAUUUGGGCUAAUUUUAUAUAUUUUUCAAAAGGCAUUGACUUUCUAAAGAGUUUUUUAAUCAUUAAUUCACUCUGGUAAUAUAAAUAACACCUUUAUAUAGUCAUCUAAACUUUCCAAAGCACUUUUACCUAUUAUUCUCAGAACAGUCCAGGAAAGUAGGCAAAACAGACAUUAUCACCAUUUUAUGAGGUAUUGGAUGCUAAAUGACUUGCUCAGCGUCUCAUAACUGGUAAGUAGCAGGAUCAGGUCUGAAAUCCAUUUCACCUGGCCUUAGAUCCAUCUUUGAGGGUCUCUUUAUCUGAUAGGCUUCUCGUCUUGGAUAGGCAAAGGAAGGAUGAACUGGAGCAGAGGAUGUCGGCCCUGCAGGAGAGCAGGCGGGAGCUGAUGGUCCAGCUGGAAGAGCUGAUGAAGUUGCUGAAGGCUCAGGCCACAGGGUCACCACAUACAUCGCCCACCCAUGGAGGCGGCCGGCCGAUGCCCAUGCCAGUGCGCUCCACGUCUGCCGGCUCCACCCCCACCCACUGUCCGCAGGACUCGCUGAGCGGAGUCGGGGGAGACGUGCAGGAGGCCUUCGCACAAGCAGAGGAAGGUGCAGAGGAAGAAGAAGAGAAGAUGCAGAAUGGGAAAGACAGAGGUAAAGGCAGCUCAGCAGGACUGCUCGUUUAAAUGGGGAGCCCGAGCUCAUGGAUCAGCCGCCCCCCACUUUGUUUCUGCAUUCCUCCCUGCCACCACCUUUCCCAGAGCUUUCGGACCCGAGGUCCCUGUACCUACUUUUCCCAUCUGACAG